UACGUAGGGUGCAAGCGUUGUCCGGAAUUAUUGGGCGUAAAGGAGCUCGUAGGCGGUUUGUCGCGUCUGCUGUGAAAACGCGAGGCUCAACCUCGCGCCUGCAGUGGGUACGGGCAGACUAGAGUGCGGUAGGGGAGAUUGGAAUUCCUGGUGUAGCGGUGGAAUGCGCAGAUAUCAGGAAGAACACCCGUGGCUAAGGCGGCUCUCUAGUACGGUACUGACGCUGAGACGCGAAAGCGUGGGGAGCGAACAGG
rnacentral:rRNA from 1 species